ACAGGCCUGGGGUUCUCCUUUUAUUGGAGUCAAGGGUGGGGACCUAGGAUUUUGCCAGCUCACUCUUUAUUGGUGAAUUUAGAACAUAAAGAGUGGGAAUUUAAAGCACAGGAAAAGAAAAAACAGGUGGCCCAAAUGGUCAGUUAUCUCAAAAUCAACGAAGAUCUCUAAAACAAAGGGUUGGGGGCCAGGGGCUAGAAC